rnacentral:misc_RNA from 1 species
UGGGUAGUAAUUGAAAAUGGCUAAUCCAUCAGGAGUUGCUGGUUUUCGACUAACCACAUUUAUGGUAGCCCAGUAGUUCCUUGUAGGGUCUUGAGUGGCGUUCACUAAGACAGAAAAUGUCUCACCAGAGUAAAUGUAUAAGUUCUGGGUAACAAAUGGCUCAACAUAUGUCCCAUCAGCUUCAACAACUGUCAUGUUGUGGCCCUCUAUUUGGAAACUGAAAGAAGAAAGUGAAGUCAAGCUAGCAAUCCUAUACCGGUAUGUUUUUCCAGGAAUUACUGUUAAUACUGCUGGAGAACAUGUAGGAUUUGUUAGAUUACAAACUUCUGGGUCUACACUUGAACCCAAAAGAGAACAAUUGUACUUCCCUCUUCCAUUGAUUAGAAGUGACUGAGGUUCUCCAACCCACUGAAAAGGUAUCGAAGACAAGUUCGUGGCUUGUUCAUAAGGAUUGUGGUGGUACCAAUCACUAAGGAUGAUGUCUCUAUCAUAAUCAUAAGGAAAGGGGAAGGGCUCUGGUUGUCUAUUAGGAAGUGAUACACGGAUUAUUCCAUAUAGCCCUGAUUCUCUUUGCAUUCCAUAAUGCGAAUGAUACAUAUAUGUUCCAGCCCUGUCGACAACAAAUUUGUAGGUGAAGGUGUCACCAGGCAUUGUAGCACAUUGAGUAACUCCAUCUGUUCCAUCACUCCAUUGAGUUCCAAUCUGGCGGAUCCCAUGCCAGUGGAUGGCAACAUUUUCCAUGACCAAGUUAUUAAUAACAUUGACAAUAAUUGUAUCACCUUGCACUGCAUCAAUUGCAGGUCCUGGAGUCAUUCCAUUAAUGGCAAUAGAUAGCUUCUUGUAACAGUCAAGAAACUUGUACUGGUAUGAAAUCUCCCACGUAUAGUUGUGGAUUCUAGCCUCUGCAGGUGGAACAUCAAUUGAAACCCAGAGAAUUGAAACCUGAAAUAUUAUCAGAAUUCUGGUCAUCCGUUGUAAGAAUAAGAGGCUACCCAUCUCUUUGAUUUUCAGGCUUUUGAUAGCUAAUAGCUAUAGCUUGCUGAAAAACUAAGAGG